CAAGAGCUCAAAUUUGAAAGCUGGCUCCUUCGGGGUCCGCAUUGUAAUUUGCAGAGGAUGCUUCGGGUGCGGCCCCUGUCUAAGUGCCCUGGAACGGGCCGUCAGAGAGGGUGAGAAUCCCGUCUGGGAUGGGGUGUCCGCGCCCGUGUGAAGCUCCUUCGACGAGUCGAGUUGUUUGGGAAUGCAGCUCUAAAUGGGUGGUAAAUUUCAUCUAAAGCUAAAUACUGGCCGGAGACCGAUAGCGCACAAGUAGAGUGAUCGAAAGAUGAAAAGCACUUUGAAAAGAGAGUUAAAAAGCACGUGAAAUUGUUGAAAGGGAAGCGCUUGCGACCAGACUCGCCUCCAGGGUUCAGCCGGCAUUCGUGCCGGUGUACUUCCCUGGGGGCGGGCCAGCGUCGGUUUGGGCGGCCGGUCAAAGGCUCCCGGAAUGUAGUGCCCUCCGGGGCACCUUAUAGCCGGGAGUGCAAUGCGGCCAGCCUGGACCGAGGAACGCGCUUCGGCACGGACGCUGGCAUAA
rnacentral:rRNA from 1 species